GUUCCUGCCGCUGCCACGACUGGAUGAACAUAGCGACUCUUUGCCCCGUACGUGCCCGAUCCAGUGCCACUGCUUGACUUGUACAUCUGUGCCUACACAAAUCAGAAGUGAUAAUAUGCAAUGGCCCGAGUCCUAUCUACAAGGGAAUCGAGUUGGACGUAGCUCUUCUUUUCCAUGUGCAAACUGCAAAAAAGUUGCACAUCUAUCAAUUCCAAAACAGUCAUGUCUGCGUCAAGAUAUAAAGGACCAGCAUGGUCAGCGCCUUGUUCAUAAAGUUGCAACUUGCAAGUGAAUCAAAGAACUUGACAACUCUUCUGCGAAGACUCCGUACACAAUUUCGACUAGACCUUUUAUGAUGUUUAUCUGCACACAAUUUCGUUAUCAUCUUCCUUGAUUUAGAUUAAUCAAAGGUGACGACUGCUUUGAUUUUCAUGGUGAGAAAAUCUUAAUCCUCCAAUUAUAUUUACGCGGACAAAUAUAAGGGACGGAGUAGCGGCGGGAGCUGACCUGACAUUUGGAGCCGUAGCGGCAGCUACCUGAAUCUUCCCAGGAGCGGCAAAUCUCGGUCUUGUACAGACUCUUCCCACCGGACGAGGAGGAAGAUGACGUUGUAGAGUCCCCGGAAUCCGUCGCCGACCUCGCGUACCUUCCACCCGGAGGUAACGAGGCGACCAAAAUUCCAUCCAUGACCAGCACCUCCUCCUCCACUUUCACCGGCGUGGAGAAAAUGCUUGGUGACCUCGCCAUCUCCAAGUUCUCCACCGACAAGAGCGGCGGGCGCUUAUAUGAAUCUGGAGACCCGGUGCGGAAAUACCGAACGAGCGGUGAGUCUCCGAGAUCGAGGUUCUCGUUGUAGGAACCCGCUAGGGUUGGGCUCUUGGACUGCUGGUGGUGGUGGAUGUAGGAGUGGCGGCCCUUUCCGAAUAGCGACUGGUUGUCCAUCUGCAUCGGCAUCAGAACCCCGCCGUUCAGGCCGCCAUUGAAUCGAGGGAUCUUCGAAUUGCCGCUGUUACUGUGAAGAAGGCCUUCCAUUGGAUGUUGAGCUUUCCUGAAAUUCCAUCGCCAAGAUUCUAUGAAUUUGCCUCUGAAUUAUGCCAAUCUUGAACUCUUUUAUUUCUCACUAACAAUUUAGGUAUUAAUUUGUACUAUUCUAUUUACAAACUAUGUUUUGAAACUCAUGAAUUUCCCGCUAAA